rnacentral:tRNA from 1 species
GGGAAUGUGGCUUAGUGGUAGAGUGCUUGUCUAUCACACAUGAAGCCCUGGGUUCGAUUCCUUGGUACCA